UUUGCUUAUCUGAAACCUAUGAUAUGGAACAUUUGCUUUCUACAUGUUUAGUUCCUGUCUGCACUCCUUCUGCAGUAAUUCAAAACUUCACUGGCUUAAGCCAGAGAAAUUUUG